rnacentral:rRNA from 1 species
GUACCUACGGGACGCAGCAGUGGGGAAUAUUGCACAAUGGGGGAAACCCUGAUGCAGCAACGCCGCGUGAGUGAAGAAGGUUUGCGGUAUGUAAAGCUCUAUCAGCAGGGAAGAAAGAAAUGACGGUACCUGACUAAGAAGCCCCGGCUAACUACGUGCCAGCAGCCGCGGUAAUACGUAGGGGGCAAGCGUUAUCCGGAUUUACUGGGUGUAAAGGGAGCGUAGACGGUUACGCAAGUCUGGAGUGAAAGGCGGGGGCCCAACCCCCGGACUGCUUUG